rnacentral:rRNA from 1 species
CAGCAGCCACGGUAAUACGAAGGGUGCAAGCGUUACUCGGAAUUACUGUGCGUAAAGCGUGCGUAGGUGGUGGUUUAAGUCCGUUGUGAAAGCCCUGGGCUCAACCUGGGAAUUGCAGUGGAUACUGGGUCACUAGAGUGUGGUAGAGGAUAGUGGAAUUUCCGGUGUAGCAGUGAAAUGCGUAGAGAUCGGAAGGAACAUCUGUGGCGAAGGCGACUAUCUGGGCCAACACUGACACUGAGGCACGAAAGCGUGGGGAGCAAACAGGAUUAGAUACCCCUGUAGUCCCUGUCUCUUAUAC